rfam:Hordeum vulgare subsp. vulgare, WGS project CAJW01000000 data, contig: morex_contig_1366970
GACUCACCCGUCGAGCAGAGACGAAAGUCGGCCUUAGUGAUCCGACGGUGCCGAGUGGAAGGGCCGUCGCUCAACGGAUAAAAGUUACUCUAGGGAUAACAGGCUGAUCUUCCCCAAGAGUCCACAUCGACGGGAAGGUUUGGCACCUCGAUGUCGGCUCUUCGACACCUGGAGCUGUAGGUGGUUCCAAGGGUUGGGCUGUUCGCCCAUUAAUG